AAUAUUAGGUAAUGUGUACACACACACACACACACACACACACGCUAGUGUCUCUUGGAGGAAUACUGGUCAAGACACCUCCAUAACACACAAAGCAAGACUUCCUCGGAUGGAAACCCAGUCUCCACAGCUUUCAAAGAGGGGGGAAAAAGGCAGUCUCACCAAGGGAGGAGGGGAGAGUAAGAGACAGACAGUGAGAGAGACAGAGAGAGUGAGAGAGAAAGAGAGCGAGAAAGAGCUCAUGAAGCAACAGAGUCUUUCCAGAGGAGGAGUGAAGGGAGAAGAAAAUGACCCACAGCAGAAGGAGGAGAUGAUGAACUAGCCUAUAUUAAUACAACAGGCAGAGAGCACAAAAACACAGCAGGAGUCCUUUGUAAGUGGAGAUAAACAGCGUUGCUAUUGCACAACCGCUGCCUUUUCCACUGGCACCAAGAGACGACAACAGCUACUACAAACUGGGAGAGAAGCAAGAAUAAAAGGAGAGAGUAAGAGUGGAGCGAGAGACGGUGGAAAGCAAACCAAUGACAGCUGGCUCACUUCGAGCCCGAUUUGUUUCCUUUCUUAAAACCAGAACAGACUGUACAGAGGACAGCAGUGCAGCGGGUGGGGUUUUGGUCAUCUCUUGGCUUCGAUGCUAAUCGCUACUUGAGGACUUAUCUCUGCUAACCCUAAUCCUGAAAAGACCGCUGGGUCGAGGAGGCGAGGUCACCACCUCUGUCUCACUGCUGGCUCCAACUCACCCAGCAACACACAGGGAACUCGCUCUCCACACUCACUCAGUUUUAUCCCUUUAUUUGUGGCUUCAGCAAAGUGGUCACAUCACACAAGCUGCACCCAGAUACUACAGAGUUGUACCCACCACCCUCAGUGUGAGGGACAUGAUGGAUGCCAGAGAGGAGAUGCUGACCCUGCUACAGAAGCUCUGGGCCAAACUGCAGGGUCUCCCCACUGCCAGCCCUCUGGAGAUGGGGGCCUUCGCUGUCCUCGUCCUCUUUAUCGUGGUCUUCCUGCUCAUGCUGCUGAUGACCUGUUUGACGUGCUGCUGCUGUCACAGAACCAGAACCAAGGGCCCACAUAGUCAGCUAACCUGAGACAAUCCCCACUUCCCCCAAUAAUGAGGAGAGACAUUAUAAACAGGCACUCUAUGGAGUGCCAUUGUAUCACCAGGAGAGAAAUUCUGGAGAGGCACUCUAUGGGCCUCUUAACCCCGGAGGAAUGAUGAGGACCCGUGGGGAGGGUGUGGAGCCCAUCUAUAAAGGAGCCCGGCCCUUGAACAACACACCUCCAUACAAAACACACACAGAGCCUCCCUGAGAAGCAGUCAAACAGGCCAGGCUUUCAGGAGUAUCAACAUUCCAUGGGGCAUCCCUGGGCUCUGCUGGCUAACAAAGCAGUCUUUGACGUGAGAGAUGGACAAGACUAGACCUCUAGGACUGCUUCAACUGAUCCACACAACACAAAGACACACACACGUAGCUAAAAGAUCCCAAUAGAAGCACAGGAGAUUGCUUGGGGAGAUGAAUGUCUGUCAGUUCUAGGAUGUAUGGGUGUCAACUCAACCUCUGCCACUGGCUCAGAGACUCUAAGAAAGAGCCCUCUGCAGAUUCCAUCAACAACUCACUUAAAUGGAGGCAUCUUGCCAAACCCCUUGUAAGAGUGUUGCCAUAUGUCUUCUAUCUAAGGGACUUGCUUUGCUUUAUUUCCUUGUUCAAGUGCUAGAUGGAACAAGGAAACGCAGAAAUGUCCGACUUGCAAACUGGUUGAACGCGGCACGUGUAUAACUACAACCAGUUAGCAAGUCGAAAAAGUCUGUUUCCUAGUUCCGACUAGAAUGUGAACACAGCAUUAGUUCAGCAAAAACAAGCAAUUAUGUCAUUCCUCAGGCGAUUCAGAGGACCAUGCCUGCCCUCUGCUGCCUUGUAAUAUGCUUCACAGUUAUACACAAAAACAGAAAAAGAGUAAUGCUGUCAUUUCCAUAUAGUUGUUGCAUAGGUUAAAAAUGGAAUCUCUUCCUUCUGAAAAAACAUUUUCUUAGCCUGCCUAAAAUAGUGCAAUACACUUUUGUAUCUCUCUUACAUGAAAUAAAACAAAAUGCAGAUGA